CAGUCGCCGCGGGAAUACGAAGGGUGCAAGCGUUACUCGGAAUUACUGGGCGUAAAGCGUGCGUAGGUGGUGGUUUAAGUCCGUUGUGAAAGCCCUGGGCUCAACCUGGGAAUUGCAGUGGAUACUGGGUCACUAGAGUGUGUCAGAGGAUGGUGGAAUUCCCGGUGUAGCGGUGAAAUGCGUAGAGAUCGGGAGGAACAUCAGUGGCGAAGGCGGCCAUCUGGGACAACACUGACGCUGAGGCGCGAAAGCUAGGGGAGCAAACAGGAUUAGAUACCCCGGUAGUCCCUGUCUCUUAUAC
rnacentral:rRNA from 1 species